GCAAGUCAUCCUUGGCUG
rnacentral:snRNA from 1 species